UACGUAGGGUGCAAGCGUUAAUCGGAAUUACUGGGCGUAAAGCGUGCGCAGGCGGUGAUGUAAGACAGAUGUGAAAUCCCCGGGCUCAACCUGGGAACUGCAUUUGUGACUGCAUCGCUGGAGUACGGCAGAGGGGGAUGGAAUUCCGCGUGUAGCAGUGAAAUGCGUAGAUAUGCGGAGGAACACCGAUGGCGAAGGCAAUCCCCUGGGCCUGUACUGACGCUCAUGCACGAAAGCGUGGGGAGCAAACAGGAAUUAGAACUA
rnacentral:rRNA from 1 species